CACGUAGGGCGCAAGCGUUGUCCGGAAUUAUUGGGCGUAAAGAGCUCGUAGGCGGUCUGUUGCGUCCGCUGUGAAAACUCGGGGCUUAACCCCGAGCCUGCAGUGGAUACGGGCAGACUAGAGGUAGGUAGGGGAGAAUGGAAUUCCCGGUGUAGCGGUGAAAUGCGCAGAUAUCAGGAGGAACACCGGUGGCGAAGGCGGUCUCUGGGAAUGUCCUGACGCUGAGGAGCGAAAGUGUGGGAGGCGAACAGG
rnacentral:rRNA from 1 species